rnacentral:lncRNA from 1 species
GAUGCCUCUUUGUGCUUGCUGUGGUGUCUACUACGUCUAGUGGGGGAGAUUCGCAGGGUAUUUUAGUGGCUUUGCCAGCAGUCAGUGAUUCCUGAGUGUGACCUGAUGUUUCAGAGAGCUCUGUGAAGCCGGCCAGGUCUUCCAGGGGUUGGGCCUUUUCCUUAGGUGCUCUUGGCCUUCUCCUGCCGGGUUCCUCUUCUACUGGGUUCGGUUUCUUCUUUGCACGUUGCUUCAAUACUUUGAUGCCCUCAUCACCGCUUGCUGGUUCUUUGUGUGUGUGUGUGCGUUGCCCUGAUGUUUGCGUGAGCCUCUCAACUGCUGAGAGCUCCUCUUUCACUUCUUUCCUGAGACGUGUCUUGGGGCAUCUCUUUGUGCUCGUGGCAGUGUCUGUUAGUUCUGGUGGGGGAGAUUUGCAGGGAAUUUUUGUGUUUUUGUCAACAGUCAUUGACUCUUCAGUGUGACCUGGUGCUGAGAAGAGCUCUUUGAAGUCAACCAGGUCUUCUAGAGCACGGGCCUUUUCCUUACGAGUUCUCAGCUGCCUCCUGCUACCAGUUACACUUGCUGCUGGGUCCAGGAUCUGCUUUGGAGACUCCUUAAACGCUCUGAUGCUCUCACUAUCUCCUGUUGGCUCUGUGUGUGUUUGCGUAGUCUCCCCUGACGUCCGUGUGAGCUUGCUGACUGCUAGGGGCUCUUCUUUCAUGUCCACUUUCACCAGGGCUAUCUUGAGCCUUUGCUUGGAGCUUCUUGAGGUUUUGAAUGACUCUGACUGUGGAGAUUUACAGGAUACUUCUGUGAUUUUGUCAUCAGUCAUUGAUUCCUCAGUGUGACCUGGUGUCUGGAAGAGUUCUUUGAAGCCAGCCAGCUCUUCUUUCACACCUACUUUCC